UACGGGAGGCAGCAGUGGGGAAUAUUGCACAAUGGGCGAAAGCCUGAUGCAGCUAUGCCGCGUGUAUGAAGAAGGCCUUAGGGUUGUAAAGUACUUUCAUCGGGGAGGAAAAACAAAACUAAUAAUUUUAUUUCUUGACGUUACCCGAAAAAGAAGCACCGGCUAACUCCGUGCCAGCAGCCGCGGUAAUACGGAGGGUGCUAGCGUUAAUCAGAAUUACUGGGCGUAAAGAGCACGUAGGUGGUUUUUUUAAGUCAGAUGUGAAAUCCCUGGGCUUAACCUGGAACUGCAUUUUGAAACUGAAAUACUAGAGUAUCGUAGAGGGAGGUAGAAUUCUAGGUGUAGCGGUGAAAUGCGUAGAUAUCUGGAGGAAUACCUGUGGCGAAAGCGGCCUCCUAAACGAAUACUGACACUGAGGUGCGAAAGCGUGGGGAGCAAACAGGGAUUAGAUUACC
rnacentral:rRNA from 1 species